rnacentral:lncRNA from 1 species
GGGUCCACACAUUCAGGUGACAGCCAAACAAGGACUCUGACUCCCUCUAUCCUGAAUCUCCUGACUCCCCAGUCCAUUGCUUCUUCCAUCCAACUUUCUGUUGGAGCUAAGGAGUUUCUAGAAAUGGAUAGCAGCCCAAGAGGGGAAUGAAUCCUCCUGAACUACAAUUAAAACUUGACUGUAACUUCCUGGACCAGCCCCUGAGAGCCAAGCCACUUUAAAGAGCAGCAGACGGUGGGGACCUACUGCCACCCAGGCACAGAUGCUCAUAUUGAGUAUGGCAAGAGUGAUGUAUAUAAGACUCAAGGCACGUGAUCCAUUGGGAAUCAGGUCUACUGCUGUCAUUGUUGGGAAUCCUGAAUAUAUCAAACUUAUUUUUACAAAGGUGGAAAGGACAUUGGAACACAAAAUGUCAAAACUUGGGGAAAACAUCUAAUCCAAACCUUCAUUGUAGAGAGGAGGAAGUGGAAGAGUAGCAAAUUAUCCAUCUACCUGAUAGAAAAAGUUAACAAGAUACUAUUCCUUCUAUCAGAGCCCCAGGAAAAGUCCCACAUUGGCCUGACUCCAUUCUGAAUGAUUGUGCAGUAAGAUUCAAUUAAAGUUUAGACGUAAAAGAUGAAAAGAAAGCUUCAGGAUCAGCCUUUCCCCACAUUCUUCUUAGAAGAGAGGUGAGAUUAUAGGUACGUUUUCUACAAUUAGACUCAUAUUGUUCAAACUGGAAGAGCCCUUAGAAAACCCAGUUCUACCGUUGAAGGACCUAGGAUGAGUCUCCUAUCCUCUCUGGACUUCAAUUCUCUCCCAUAAGCCAUCACUCUGAUCUUCCUCUCAUUACCAUGAUUUAAUCUAAACUUUUCCUUUUGGAUAUAAGAAAACUAAGAACCAUGUUAGUCUCCAAGUUUUUCUAAUACCAGUGCUCUCCAUCAACUAUUCCACAGAACAUCCAAUGCUCUCCCCAGUCCCUCGCAAAGCACAACAUUCAGAGGUCCAUCCACUAACCUGAUGUACACUAAUGAUAACUCUCCCUUGCAAAAUUCAACUACAA